rnacentral:rRNA from 1 species
GAUGAACGCUGGCGGCGUGCCUAAUACAUGCAAGUCGAGCGAACGGACGAGAAGCUUGCUUCUCUGAUGUUAGCGGCGGACGGGUGAGUAACACGUGGAUAACCUACCUAUAAGACUGGGAUAACUUCGGGAAACCGUAGCUAAUACCGGAUAAUAUUUUGAACCGCAUGGUUCAAAAGUGAAAGACGGUUUUGCUGUCACUUAUAGAUGGAUCCGCGCUGCAUUAGCUAGUUGGUAAGGUAACGGCUUACCAAGGCAACGAUGCAUAGCCGACCUGAGAGGGUGAUCGGCCACACUGGAACUGAGACACGGUCCAGACUCCUACGGGAGGCAGCAGUAGGGAAUCUUCCGCAAUGGGCGAAAGCCUGACGGAGCAACGCCGCGUGAGUGAUGAAGGUCUUCGGAUCGUAAAGCUCUGUUAUUAGGGAAGAACAUAUGUGUAAGUAACUGUGCACAUCUUGACGGUACCUAAUCAGAAAGCCACGGCUAACUACGUG